AUAGAGGAACAAUUAAUUUGAUUCCCUCAUUUUCAUUUAUCGUCGGCCUUCGAGCAGAAGCCAGUCGUAGUGAUUUUUUGGUUUUCUUUUUCAAGUUCAAGUUUCCGGCUACUACAUCACCAGCGGCGAACGCUCUGCUUGCGUGAAUUUAUAGUUUUUAAAAAAAGCGUCCAAAAGGGCGCUUUUGUUACGGGCAAAGCUAUCUCGUUAGCCUCGCCAUUUUGAAUUGUUCGUUAGCGGACACGUGGAACUCUCCCGAGACGGGGCUCAGCUGGGUCCGCCAGACACUGGUAGCCAAACGGGGUCGAGAAGUAUCUCACCGGCCUUCCUGCGAUCGUUAGCGAUUGAUCGGGUAGCGUACCGGUUCCGCCGACUCCCUCCCCCGCAACUGUAGUUCGACCCCUUUUAGAGCGAGCCCCCGGUUAUUUCAACCCUUUCGAAGCGUUGCGAACGCUCUCGGUGGAGAAGAUUCCUGCGGUGCACCCCUGCAUUGAGUGAAUCAUCAGAUUCCAUCGGUGCACCCCUCCCGGUUGACGAACCGCAUCAUUCAUUAGUAAACCCUGCGCAGGUAUGUUGUAUCCAUUCAUGGCCAUGUACACUGAAACAACACACACACUCACACGCUCUUUAACAAUGUAUAUAUAAAGAAAAAAUCAAAGAACAUAAAGAUGAAUUUAACAUAAA